rnacentral:rRNA from 1 species
UACGUAGGGUGCAAGCGUUGUCCGGAAUUAUUGGGCGUAAAGAGCUCGUAGGCGGUUUGUCGCGUCUGCUGUGAAAACUCGGGGCUUAACUCCGGGCCUGCAGUGGGUACGGGCAGACUAGAGUGCGGUAGGGGAGACUGGAAUUCCUGGUGUAGCGGUGAAAUGCGCAGAUAUCAGGAGGAACACCGGUGGCGAAGGCGGGUCUCUGGGCCGUAACUGACGCUGAGGAGCGAAAGCAUGGGGAGCGAACGGG